rnacentral:rRNA from 1 species
GACGAACCGUCCUAACGUUGUUCGGAAUCACUGGGCUUAAAGGGCGCGUAGGCGGGUCAGCAAGUCCGGGGUGAAAUCUUUCGGCUCAACCGGAAAAUAGCCUUGGAUACUGCUGGUCUCGAGGGAGGUAGGGGCCUGUGGAACUUCCGGUGGAGCGGUGAAAUGCGUUGAUAUCGGAAGGAACGCCGGUGGCGAAGGCGGCAUCCUGGACCAACACUGACACUGAGGAGCGAAAGCCAGGGGAGCAAACGGG